CAGUGCAGCGGCUAUGGUGCGGCGUCCUCUGUGUCCUAGCAACCCGGGACAGGGCGGAGACUACCGCACCGGCACACCCAGCACCCGCCGAGGCCGGUACAGGCGGGAGGACAUGGUGCUCUGCUUCAGACUCCCGUUUGUGAGAAACUUUUUGCCCACAAGCAAUGACCUCAUAGACAUCCUCUAAUGAAUUCUUAAUUCACCGCCGACACCCGUGAAGAGCCUUGCAGCAUAACCAGGAUCUCCCCUGUACAGCAAUGACUGCCAGGCAGAGAAGGGACUCCAGAGGGACUGGAAAAGUGUUGGCAGAACUGGCGCCUGCUAUGCCACUCUUUAACCAGUCAUUAUAUACAAGUAGAGCAAUGAAAUCAGAAAGUCUCCCCAGCAUUGCAGGCGUUGGACUAGGAAUUCAAGAUGUCAUAUCAGUGAGUAGGCUGCCAGUCACUAAGACAACCAAAAGCUUUCCCACCAUUGUCAAAGCUCAGAAACCUGGGAAGAGUUUUGUCAGCAAGGCAGUUCAGGUGUCAUCUAAUGAGGAAAAUUUGUUUCUUUCAAAAAUAGAAGCUUUACAGAAGGAAAUUCUCUCACUGAAAUCCUCUCUUAAAGAGAAAGACGAUGCGGUGACAGAGUUGAAUGAAAUGAUCAUAUCCAAGACUGUGCAGUUUACCAGGGACAUGCAGAAUGAAACAAAUAAUCAUAAAACUACCAGGCAGACGCUGGAGAAAAGCCAAAAGAUAGUGGAAGAGAAGGAGCAGCUAUUGGAGGAAAGUAUCCGGCACUAUGAAAAAACCAAGAGAGAACUGCAGGGUCAGUAUGAAGAGGCACUGGCAUCACUUCGGGAGCGAAGCCAAAUCGAAGUGAACAUCAGGGAUGAAAAGAUUACUAAACUGAAGCAGCAGAUCUCAGAGCUUUUCAAAGACAAGUCAUGGGAACAUAAGAAGCAGUUAGAAGAACUUCAGAAGGAACUGAAACGAUUAACAGAGGAAGCUCAAGUACUUCACGGGCAGCUGAAGAGGCGUAAUGUUUCUACACAUGUACGCAAUGUGAGAAGUGUGAGCCACUGAUGUCAGCCCUUGAAGACAGCAGGUUACAACUAAAAAUAAAGAACAGGACUAUAGAAGAACUGCAGUCACUGUGCCAAAGAUUUCAGUAUCAACUUCAAGAACAAGAGAAAUUGCAAAGCAUGUUUGUGGACAAGAACAACAGGAACCAAAAAUAACCCAGCAGGGACUUCAUUACUCACCAAUGUAUUGCUGCUUUUAUAUUUCCAGCCACUCCUGUAAUCUGUAUAAUGUUCCUUAACAUGUAAUAAAGCAAUCAAAACACCAA